rnacentral:rRNA from 1 species
CCUACGGGAGGCAGCAGUGGGGAAUAUUGCACAAUGGGGGAAACCCUGAUGCAGCGACGCCGCGUGAGUGAAGAAGUAUUUCGGUAUGUAAAGCUCUAUCAGCAGGGAAGCAAAUUACGGUACCUGAUUAAGACCCCCCGGCUAACUACGUGCCAGCAGCCGCGGUAAUACGUAGGGGGCAAGCGUUAUCCGGAUUUACUGGGGGUAACGGGAGCGUAGACGGCAGCACAAGUCUGGAGUGAAAUGCCUGGGCUUAACCCCGGACCUGCUUUGGAAACUGGGCCGCUAGUGUGCAGGAGAGGUAAGCGGAAUGCCGAGGGUAGCGGUGAAAUGCGUAGAUAUUGGGAAGAACACCGGUGGCGAAGGCGGCAUACUGGAGUGGAACUGACGUUGAGGCACGAAAGCGUGGGGAGCAAACAGGAUUAGAUACCCGGGUAGUC